UUUUGAUCAAUGAAGGCCAUCAUUAAAAGAAAAAUCUGAAUUACAAAACUCCUGAGUAGGCCUAGGAAUCAAAUGACUCAUCCAGCAGAAAAUCCUGAAGAUUUCAGAAACUGGACACCCCAUAUUUACAUCAUCUAGUACAGAAGCCUGCAUCAAUUUCUUCGUAUGAACAUAAAUUACAUCAGAGGGAAAAACUUGGCAACACUUCAUCAUUCUCCUUGGACAGCGUUCUGCCUCUCCAUGUUUUUAUUGAAAAUUUCAGUCUUGGCCACCCUGUCACAACCUGCCUUAGUGCUUACUCAAAGUAAUCCAUCCCCCAACAGCCCACCAAAGAACAAUGAGCUACCCAGGAAUGUCCCCACAGCAUUUAUCACUAGUGAUCUCAUUCCUUGAUUGACAUAAGUAAGGGCGAGCAUCAUACAGUUCUUUUUUACUUUAACUCCAGCAUGGGGCUAGAUAUCCGGAAUGAUUGGAAUUUUUAUCUUCCAUUGACUUUUGGCCGUUGUGAAAAUAGUUGGCCAAGGAUUUUGAAGGGUAGCAGUGCCUUGUAGGUGCUGGUGCCAGAUUUAUGGAUGAUCAAUCCAUUCCAGGCAAGCAGCUAAGAACUAUUACUUGAAAUCUGAGUCUCUGGAUGCACCUUGACCAGGGAAAGAAUUUGUUAUGUAUAAUAAAUUCUAUUAACAUUUAUCCACUCAAAUGCAGAUGUGUACACAAUAAACCGCACCAUCAUUUUCUGUCCUAAGUAUUGUCAACUGAAGCCUAUACAGAUGAACAGCCGCUUUUAGACACUGUCAUUCAAAUUUCCCUCCUACAACUUCAAGCAAGAAAAACUUUGUAACAGCAAUGGUAACUUAUCCGCUUGACUACCUGAGCAUAAAUUCCAAUUUCUAUGGAUCUAUCUGUUGGACGUAGCCAACUUUCUUCAGGUCAUGACCCAAUUUGUCAAUCAUUUGAUAAAUCGUAUCUGAUUUGGGGUGUGAUUUGUCAAAUACAGUGAAUUCAUGAACCUCAUUAUCCAGCUCGAUGGAACUAGCACCUGAUGGUUUUUGGACUCCAGUACCCUUCAUCUGCAACCUCAUAUUGGCAACACUAUUCCAGUCACCUGCAGCAGCAAAAAUAUUUGACAACAUAGAGUAAUUACCAGGUUCUGAUGGUUCAUGUGUAACCAGGCGAUCUAAUACCACCUCUGCUAGUUCCACAGCAUUAUGCAUUCUGCAUGCCCCCAAAAGGGUACCCCAAAUAACGGCAUUUGGCUCCAUUGGCAUGCUCUGCACAAGCCUAAAAGCUUCUUUAAGACGCCCUCCUCGACCUAAAAGAUCAAUCAUGCAACCAUAAUGCUCAAUAUGAGGAACAAUCCCAUAAUCCCUUUCCAUGGUAUUAAAGAAACAAAGGCCCUCAUCGACACAACCUGCAUGAGUACAAGCACACAAAACACCAAUCAAAGUAACUUUAUCAGGCUUAAACCCUUCUUCCUGCAUUCUAGAGAAAAGCUGAAGUGCUUGUUCGCCAUGCCCAUGCAUGGCAAGCCCUUGGAGCAUGCAAUUCCAAGUGACUAAAUCUCUCUUAUGCAUCCCAUUAAACACACUUAAUGCCAUGUCUAUGCUACCACACUUAGCAUGCAUAUCAACCAAUGCAUUGGACACAUUAAUACUGCACUUAAACCUAGUCAUCUUAAUGGAAGCAUGAACUCUUUUCCCCAACCCAAGCGAACCAGACUCUGCACAAGCAGCCAGUAUGCUGAUAAAAGUCCCAUCAUCAGGCCUCAGCCCAGUUGCUUCCAUCUGAUCAUACAAUCUUGCUGCCUCUUUUACAAGCCCUUUCUCAGCAAACCCAGAUAUAAUUAUGGUCCAAGGAACUACAUUCUUGACUGGCAUCUUAUCA
rnacentral:misc_RNA from 1 species